rnacentral:tRNA from 1 species
GGGCCGCUAGCUCAAUUGGCAGAGCUGAGGACUUUUAAUCCUUAGGUUCUGGGUUCGAGUCCCAGGCGGCCCACCA